UUCUUCACGCCUCUCCUACUCUCCUCUCUCCUCUCUUUUGCUGUCUCUCUAUCCUCUUUCUCUGUUUUUUUUUGCCAUUGCGAUGGAGUUAUGGAGCGCCAUUAAAGGUGGAUUCUCUACUAAUUAAAAAAUUAUAGGAAUUUCAGCUUUUCUCUCAAGAACACAAUUCAAUUUCAUCGGCACUUCGCAUCAAAUUGCCUUUACGGGAUAAUCGAGCUCUUUCGACGAGAUUUGGAACUCGAAUUUCGCAAAAAUUGAAAGGAAGGAAAUGCGAAUUAGAGGAGAGACAAAUUUAACCGAUCGAGUUUUGCUGAAAUGGGGUUUGAAGGUGAAGAUCAGCUUCACUCAAUUACUACAAGUUCUGUGAAACUCAAGCUUCCUAGAAAGUAUAUCCAUCCAGACAACAUGUUUGCUGAGGGAAAUUUAAACCUUGAGCUGAAAAGAAUUCGGGAUGAAUUCAAAAUGCACGAGUCAGAUUGUGGUUCAACACGUGCUCAAAAUACUCUGGAUUGUAAGCCCAAGUAUGACUGCACUACUUUGGAAUUUUGAGAACAAGAAGGAAGGAGUAUUUAGGGUUUCGUCGGGCCAAGGAUGAUGAUUGUAGACUGUCGAGGAAGCACUUGUCGACUGGUCUUAUGGAUAUUUACAGAUCUAAGUCCUUAGCUUUUUGUUGGCAAGGAAUAUCCUUGACUCUCAUCAACCAGAUUUAAUCAGUUUACAAGGCAACACCUGAUCAGUCGUUUGUCUAGGAAAAAAUGUUUGCUUCGCGAUGUUUAUGGAUGAAAAGACUUUAAACUAUUUCUCCAGAAGGCCAUAUACCGGACAGAAUGGGAUUCAUUUGUCAGUGGAAGGUCGUCCUGGUGAAAAAUCUUCCUUAUAUGGACAUGAGGAGAGGGAAAAUUCCAAAGCUGUUGUGUCAUAGACUUUUCCCUUCAGCAAGGUAUUCAAUUUGGUUGGAUAGCAAGUUGCGACUCCAACGUGAUCCUCUGUUGUUAUUGGAGCACUUCUUAUGGAGAAAGUCAUUGUGUCUGGGAGGAGAUGGAUCGGAAUAAGAAGCUUAACAAAUACAACCAUACCGUUUUUCUUCAAGGCAAUGCAUCGCAGUGAGAGACCAUGUCAUUUUUCUUCUCUUAUUUAGCUAGCUUAUUCUGACAGCUUUACGCUAUCUUACAUCUGCUAAAUGAUCUUGUAGUUCAAUUGUAUGCUAGAACCGGUGAUCAGAAUAGUUGACUGCCACAAACGUUUACAGUAUAUGAAUUUGAUGCCAAUGUGAAGGGUGCCAUUGUGCUUAAGGGUA